GUCAACAGUGAUUGAGCAAGGGGAGCCUUCAACCUGGAGCUUUCAACGAGGGGCCUCUUCGUCAAGCACCUUCCCCGCAGGGCCACCAUUUCGGCAAUGUGACUUGUCUUCGCCAGUAUCCUAAGAAAUACAAGUCCUCUUGUGAACCCAGUCUUCGCCAAGUGCAGCAAGGGCCUCGAAACAACGUUUCAACGAGAUGACUUGGCUACAUCAGGGCACUAAGAGGGAGAGAGAGAGAGAGAUAGUAUUUAAUGGCAGAAAUGCGGAGAGGUUGGCCUGAGUGAAGUACCUCUAGCCUGCUACUCCACGCUGGGGUAGGGGUUUGGGGAAAUCACAGCGAUAGGAUGUGAAGAGGAAAAAGGGUGGUGUACGGGUGCCGAAUCGAGGCUACGAAAGGAUCGACGCACCCUUGGUGCCAUGACGCCGUCACCGACUCGGAGAUGCCUCGACCGGAAGCUCUUUACCGGGCGUGGAGCGUCGAAGGGCCUGCUCGCCUUCAUCCUAGUCGCGAUCACGUUGUCGACACUGCUUCCUAAGGGGAGCGCUACGCAGCUUUGCGAGCCGAACGCAUGUGUGACGCGGUGCCUAGGAAUAGGGUUCGACAAUGGCAUGUGCAGCACCCACAAGGAUUAUGUGUACAAGGGCCAAGCACUGUGCCGCUGCUCGUACAAGCUCGGAUCUGCGCCCAAGGGGCUUCGACGCGAAAUGUCUGAGAAAGCGGCGGACAGGGGCACCUAAACUGGACACGGAAAUAGCUCGCAAGUAGCUACAACUGCGAGCCUAUCAGGUCAAAUAAAAAAGUUUUUGCAGUGAC